UGGAGGGUGGCAUAAGCCAGUUCUGAGAAGGCUCAUUUGCCAGUGGAGGAGCUGGUUCAGCGGCGCAGCCUGCAGAACACAGAGUGUGCCAACAUUCCUGCCAAGAGAACCUUCUGUUUGGCAACAGUACCUGAACCGGGCUGCAUGCUGCUCUACAAUGGGCAACAUCUGUUGAUGGGAAGCUGGCGUGAUGUGCCCUCAGUGAUCGAUCCUGCUGCACGCCGUCACUCAACUCCCUUUACAACAAGCUCACGGCUUGCAUCUGGUUUCUCUUCUCUCUGAUCACAUGGUGCUUCCGAGGCCAAAGAGCUCCUCCCCCCAGACUGCAGGCUUGCUGACGUCCGGGAUUGAGAACUGCAGCGGAGCGUCUCCACCACAGGAUUUUCGUCUACUGAGCGUGGUCCUCUGCGGAGUCUCUUGCUCACCUUCACGCUCCACCUGUAGAGAGGACAGAGGAAAGUGUGCUUUGAGAAGGGGCUCUCUCGCUCUGUGCCAUCCCCACCAGCACAAUGAAGAGGUCUGAGCUUCUCCUUUUUAGCUCUGGGAUCGUCUUUCACUUCCAAGAACAUACAGUGGGAUUGCAGCAAAUGUGCAAUUGGAACGCGUCUUCGAGACAAUGAUGUCUUAUGCUUGCUGUUGACCAGGAAGCAGCCGACACAGUUCCCAUUGCCUGUGUCCACCUCUUUGAUUACUAAAUCGGAUGUCUUAUCGUACCUUCACCUUUUGAUGCGAAUUUCUAC